rnacentral:lncRNA from 1 species
AGUUGUCCCUAAUGUUUUCUGCAGCUAUACUAAACUGGGUUUUAUGCCUAUUUCCUCGAUCCAUCUGUUCAGAUUUUUAGGGAUAAUUUCCAAUGUACCUAUAACUACUGGGAUACAUUUUACCCACAUUUUCCAUAGUCUCUGUAAAUCACUAGCUAGGUCCUGGUAUUUUGUUAUUUUUUCGAUACUCUCAUGUUGAUUUUUUUCAUCAUAAGGGACUGUAAAGUCAAUUAUCUGGCACUUUUUAUAUUCUUUAUUUACUACUAACAAAUCAGGCUUUCUAGCUUCUAUUACUCUGUAAGUCUGAAGGUCAAAGUCCCACAACAUCUUGUAUUUGUUGCUUUCUAGUACUUUACUAGGUUCAUGUUCAUACCAUUUAUCAAUAUGUUCAAAUCCUAGCUUUCUACAUAGCUCCCAGUGGAUUGCUCUCCCCAGAUUAUCAUGUCUUUUCUUGUAUUCUUUGUACCAACAUGCUACACUCACUUGCUAUAUGCAUAAUAGUUUAUUCUUUUGAUUUGCAUAAUCUACAUUGGGAAUCUAUUUGGUUUUUGUCUAUCUUGGCUUUUAUCCAAUUAGUCCUUAAUUCUUGAUCUUGUGCGACUACUAACAAGCUUUCUGUCUCCCUCUUCAGCUUUCAUUUCUGCAACCAUAAACAUGUCUCACUACUACUAUUUGUUGCAACUAUCUUUGAGAAUCUGCCAUGCAACGCCUUCUCCUGCAAUUCAGAUAAUUUCUGUUCCUUUUUCUGGUUUUUAACUUCGUUUGGCUUCUUGGUUUCCCUAUGUUUCGCUGUGACUCUUGCAGCUUUUAAUAAACUUUCUUCACUAUUACCUGUAUAGAAUCUAUAUCUAAUAUAGCUAACUCCAUACAGUCUUCUACGGAUAUUAACCCUCUUCCACCUUCCUCUCUGGGUAGGUAUAAUCAUGUUACUACUGAUCUUGGGUAGAGUCCACCAUAUAUAAUAUUUCUUCUUAGUUCUGUAUAGCUUUGCUAAUUCAGUUUUUGUCCAAUCUGCAAAAUCUGCUGAGUAUCUUAGUAAUGAUGCUGCCCAAGUAUUUACAGCCUUCACUAAAUUCGGACCAUUCAGCUCUGACUUCAUUAGGUUCCGCACCCUUUUGAUGUACUACUCAAUUUUCGUUUUCAUAUCUGUAGUUAGUACUCUGUCAGAUUCUAAUACUCCUAGAUACUUAUAACUUUCUCCUCCUUUCAAUGAUUUUUAUGUCUGGCUAUCUGAUAAUUGGAUACCUUCAGUGCUGACUACCUGUCCCCUUUUCAUGACUAAUAUUGCACACUUAUCUAUGCCAAAUUCCUAUAUCUCUGCUGAAGAUUCUUACAGUCUAUAUUAAGUAAUUUAUCUCUUUUUCAUUCCAACUAAAAAGCAUCAGAUGAUCCAUGUAGAGCAAAUGGUUAAUUUUUUCAUUACUAUUUCUAAACUGACACCCUGCCUUUGCCUACCUUGAUAUUAAAUUGAGGGGGAUCAAACAUAAUACAAAUAGUAAAGGGGACAACGAGUCCCCUUGGAAAAUACCUCUUUUGAUAUUAACUUUCCCUAUGAGUGUGUCACCUGAGUGGAGAUCGACUUUCCAUUUCUUCAUGCUAUAGCUAUUUAAUUCUCUUAUGUUUUCUGCUAUACUGAAUAUAUUCAAACAUUCACUUAUCCAUGAGUGUGACACCAUGUCAUAGGCUUUCCUAUAAUCUAUCCAUGUUUUUGUUAGAAUUUUUUUCUUUCUCGCUUUUACUUUGUCUAUAUAUAAUAGAUCAAGUAUUCCUCUAGCCUUUUUCCUGCAACCUUUCUGUUCUUCUGGUAGUAAAUACUGGUUGUCAAAGUGCUUGUAAAUGCUUUCUGAAGCAUUCCUGUUGACAGUUUUCACACUAAUUGUAAGCAAGUGAUUGGUCUAUAAUUGCUAACUGUAUUAGUCUUACUUAUAUCUUUCAUAAUGAAUAUUGUCCUCCCUCUAGUCAUCCAAUCUGGUAUUAUUCCUCCAUUAAGGCAAUCUUGAAGUUGUUCCCUCAGCUUCCCUAAACUACUGAAGUUCUUUAGCCUGGACCGUUCUAAUUCGGUAUUUUUCCUAACACUUUACUCAUUAAUGCACUAGUUAAUCUUAGAUCUGGCUGUUUCUCGUUCACUACUUCUUCCUUCACUUUCUUUAACCAUACUGCGUUUCCAUUAUGAUUGACUGACAUAUCCCAAAUAUUACUCCAUAAAUUUCUAGCUUCUUCUGCAUCGGAUUUCUAAUGUUUAGUACUUCAUUCUCCACUAUUUAUUUGGUUAUAAAAUCUCCUCUGGUCUGUUUCAAAUAAUCUAUUCCGUUGAUACUGAUCUAUUCUUUUCUGAUAUCUGGAGAGUUUGCCUGCUACUGCUAUGAUACGUUGCUUCAACUCUUCUUUUACUGUCCCAAAUCCUUUUUCUUUGACUAAGUAUCUUUUAGCGAGGGAAGAUUUGCUUCUUGUGUUUCCUAACUUGUUCAGUUUCCAGGUUUCUAUUCUAAUCAGAUCUUCUCUUAAAGUCUUCACGUUAUUUUAUAGUCUUCUUUACCACAUUUGCUCUUUUUUUAUCUUUCCCUGUGAGAUAUUUUAUCUUCUGGUGACUAUUUCCCCAUCCUGCAUAGAUCAAUAAGUUGGUGUCUCCUAUAUUUUUAGUAACUACCCUCCUGAUAACAGAAUCUGCUUUCCUAGUCAUAUCUAGCAGCUUCCUUCUGUUGGUGCCUCUUAAUACUGGCAGUCUUUUUCUUACUUCUUUACUCAUUGCUUCCUGCUACUCAUCUGAAAUCUUCAGAUCUUCCUCACUUAAAUCACUUAAGUCGUUGGUGCCUUCCUCAUUUGUAGCACUGUUAUUAUUUUUUCCUUUAGGUUCUUCUUUGGUUUGAAUUGUAUCUCUUAUAUUGUUGUUUGUCUUUCCCACUGCCUUGUCUUCUACCUCCAAUUCUUUUAUCCACUUUAUUCUCCUAAUAGUAUUAGCUUAAUCUACUAAUCUCUGCUCAGUCACUUUAAACAAACCCUUCUCCACCCAAAGUGUUAACAUUCGUUUUUUAUAGCCCCUUCUUUUUGGUUCACUAUCUAAAUAGCACUGCAUCACUAUCGUGUUUUCUUCGUUGGUUCACUUCCUCCUCCUGGCUCUAUUAUCCGCUGAUGCUGUAAUAGGAUAACAGCUGUGGUCACCCUGCAUCUUUACUGAACCACUGCAGAGCGAGAGGCCUUCCUUUAAAAAUCCAGUUUCAUUUUAGCUGUUACAAACAGAGUUUCUUCGGAAACUCCUGUCUCACCACUAUUAUUUUUCGACAUCUGAAAGUUUCAAGCAACUUUCUAUUGCAAUAUUUGUCGCACCUUUGUGCUGCAUUUUUGUGGGGGAGGGGGAUAUUGUAUCAGUACGUUUUGUUAUGGGGUUUGGGCUGAGUCUUAUGUUGUAUUAGUUUUUAUAUUGUGUGUCUUUUCUGCAGCGCAGGUUGUGUUCUUCUAUGGUACAUGCGGGCUUUGUUAAUUUUGUUGGGUAUUUGCAGUAUGAGUUUAUUUUCCCUCCCUUCUGUAUGUACUGACUCUUGAACUACUACUGCGGAAGCUGGAGAUAUUGAAGGGUGUCCCUCGUGAUCUAGGAUGUGGUAGAAGCAUGUCUCUUUAUGCUGACGAUGUCACCGUCAUAGUGUCGAGCCACAGGCACAUAGACCUGAUUGACGACACACUAAAAGAAUAUGAAACGGUGACAGGAGCAAAAAUUAACGCAGAAAAGUCAGUGAGCUUCCAAGUCGGCACCUGGUGAGGCAAGUCCAUUACGUCCAACAGUGACGUGGGGCGCUAGAUAGACGGUCCAGUUAAAUUGCUUGGGGUCCUUGUUCGGCCCAGACCGCCAGGUGGAGAAAAACUGGGACGAGGUGACGAACAGGGUGGCCAAUUUCACUCAAAUGGGCCGAGAGGAAGCUGUCCCUGAAAGAUCGAGGCGAGGUGGCGAAUGCAUACAUUGCAUCCGUCAUCUAUUACCGCUUGACCGUCGUCCCUUGCCCCUCAUGUUGGCUGAAUAAGCUGGUCCGCAUACUCUUCCGCUUUCUGUGGAGGAUUCGCAUUCUGCUGACAGCGCGCUCCAUCUGCUGUCAACAGCUGCUGAAUGGGAGCCUGGGCAUACCGUAGUUGCUGAUGCGGAGACAUGCGCUCAGGCUGCGGCAUCUACAGCGUUUCCUUGACGGUGAGCAGGUGUGGUCACCGUUUGUUAAACUCGCUCUUCCACAGCUCGUCUCUUUGAGUGAGCUACAAUCCUGGAUUAGGCGUAGACCGAGGAGGGGCGCUUGGAACCUCGAGUGCCAUCAAGCGCUCACAGUCCUCCGCCAGGCGGACAAUGCGUUUGGUGGUAGUUCCACUCUGGCGUUCUAUAGAGGGUUAGUGGAGGAAAAGUGCGACGAUGUUCUCGGGGAAAGUCUGGGCGUCAUCGAGGAUCAACUUACUGGUCUGUUCCGGAGGACUUUCGGGCCGGGGUCUGUGGAUUGCCUGUUCGGGAUAAACUUUACAGGCACGGAAGUGCUGUCAGCUGAGCCUGUUUGAUGCGCACGCAGAGCGACGAAACUGCUCGGCACGCACCCGUUCAGUGCCCGAUCAUUGCUGACCUGUGAGUUUAUGUCGAAUAUCUGUUGUCGCGUGUGGGACGGAUCCGGCUAUCAGCUGAAUCCAUAGUGAAGAUUGCCCCGCCGCCCUCCUUUGUCUGGUGGCUGAAGCAAAAGAAGUAGUGUCGUGAACACGUUUGAAAGGGCUAAAGACGGAUACUUUCCUCUUUGGCCAAACCCUCAUGAACCUUUUCAUGGUGGAGAGGGAAGUGUUGCCUCCUAGCAAAUUUGUUGAAAGGUGGGUGAAUGUCGGAAAAAUGAUCAGUGCGAAAGGACCCAUAUUGAGCAUGCGCCUGUGAAAAAUAAAAGAAGGGCUCUUGCCCUGUUGGUCAGGCCCCUGUGGGUUUUUCCACGAGUAGAUUGGGGUCUUCUGGUAAGACAAUUAACCACAUAGUGUAUCACUUGUUGACAACGGCUAGUAUUUAGAUGAUAGUAGUUGUUGAAUUUAAGUUACGUUCAAAGUGAUGUCACUCAUAUUUACUGGGAUACUCAAAAAGUGAUACAGUAUUUUUCUAAAAGGAAAAGCACUUAAAAGACUAGAAUUAUUUUAUUUUACUGAAGUACCACUUUAGUGAGUUCUGUAACUCAUUCCUAGAGAGCAUAUAUUUCCUUUGCUGGAGCCCAAUUAAUGAAUCACACCAUCAAAACCAAAAUGACAAAUUCUCAACACACAUACACACAUAGGUGUGUAAGUGCGUGUGUGUGUGUGAAUGCAUGUAUGUGUUGCGUGUGUGCAUGCACGCGUGUGUGCAUGCGCGCGUGUGUGUGUGUGUGCGUGUGAGUAAAUUUAAAGUUAUUAUUUUAAAGAAAGUUCAAGAAUAACAACAGAAUAUAUAAUGUUAUGAAAUUUAUAAAAUUCCUUUUGACUGAUACUUAUAGUUUCGCCUGACGACUUAUUCAGCUUAUCUCAGUGAUCUCAUAGUUUAUAUACAUACGUACAUACAUACAUACAUACAUACAUACAUACAUACAUACAUACAUACAUACAUACAUACAUACAUACAUACAUACAUACAUACAUACGUACGUACAUACAUCUUACCUUACACUCUCAUUUUUACUUUGUCCUUUAUUUUUAAAAUAAUGAAUCUGCUUAGCAUGAGAACCUAAUCUUUUUGAUUAGUUUCUUUAUAUAUUUGAAAUUUCAUAUGCUAGCAUAACCCCAUUGGUGCAUAUCACCUGAUAAACCUCUAAUGGAAUAUUACCUGACGACGUGGUAAUAUUUUGUAAACACGUUACUGCAAAAUCUUAUACAAUCUUGCAUGUAUAAAUUGUAUGAUGCAAUAUAUUAAUAAAUGCUUACUUCUGAAAUACGUGUGGUUAAGCCACAUUAUCUAUUUGUUUCAACUUUAGUAUACAUACAAACAUACACACACACACACACACACACACACACACACACACACACACACACAUACACAUAUAUAUAAUUUUAUUGUUUUAUUCGUUUCAGCCGUGUAGCUGCGGUCAUGUUGGAACACCACCGUGGUUUUGCUGGUGAAGAAAAGAUUACUGAAUCAGCAGAAUGGCGAAAUGACAUGAAAUUUCUAUUUCAUUUGACCAGAGUUUUUCGUUUAUUUCAAAAACCGGCAAAUUUCCUAUUGUAAAGUUUCAAAAAUAC